rnacentral:rRNA from 1 species
CGGACGGGUGAGUAACGCGUGAGCAACUGCCUUUGCUUGGGGGAUAACACUGGAACGUUGCUAAUACCGCAUAACGUAGCGACUUCGCAUGAAGAUGCUACCAAAGAUUUAUGAGCAAAGAUGGGCUCGCGUCUGAUUAGAUAGUUGCGGGGUAACGGCCCACCAAGUCGACGAUCAGUAGCCGGACUGAGAGGUUGAAACGGCCACAUUGGGACUGAGACACGGCCCAGACUCCUACGGGAGGCAGCAGUGGGGGAUAUUGGACAAUGGGGGCAACCCUGAUCCAGCGACGCCGCGUGAGGGAAGAAGGCCUUCGGGUUGUAAACUUCUUUUAGCAGGGACGAAGAACGUGACGGUACCUGCAGAAAAAGCAACGGCUAACUACGUG